rnacentral:rRNA from 1 species
CCUACGGGGGGCUGCAGUGGGGAAUAUUGGACAAUGGGCGAAAGCCUGAUCCAGCCAUGCCGCGUGUGUGAAGAAGGCCUUCGGGUUGUAAAGCACUUUCAGUGGGGAAGAAAGCCUUGGGGCUAAUACCCUCGAGGAAGGACAUCACCCACAGAAGAAGCACCGGCUAACUCCGUGCCAGCAGCCGCGGUAAUACGGAGGGUGCGAGCGUUAAUCGGAAUUACUGGGCGUAAAGCGCGCGUAGGCGGUCUGAUAAGCCGGUUGUGAAAGCCCCGGGCUCAACCUGGGAACGGCAUCCGGAACUGUCAGGCUAGAGGGCAGGAGAGGAAGGUAGAAUUCCCGGUGUAGCGGUGAAAUGCGUAGAGAUCGGGAGGAAUAACAGUGGCGAAGGCGGCCUUCUGGACUGACACUGACGCUGAGGUGCGAAAGCGUGGGUAGCAAACAGGAUUAGAUACCCUAGUAGUC